rnacentral:rRNA from 1 species
AGUGAACGCUGGCGGUAGGCCUAACACAUGCAAGUCGAACGGCAGCACAGUAAGAGCUUGCUCUUACGGGUGGCGAGUGGCGGACGGGUGAGGAAUACAUCGGAAUCUACUUUUUCGUGGGGGAUGACGUAGGGAAACUUACGCUAAUACCGCAUACGACCUACGGGUGAAAGCAGGGGAUCUUCGGACCUUGCGCGAUUGAAUGAGCCGAUGUCGGAUUAGCUAGUUGGCGGGGUAAAGGCCCACCAAGGCGACGAUCCGUAGCUGGUCUGAGAGGAUGAUCAGCCACACUGGAACUGAGACACGGUCCAGACUCCUACGGGAGGCAGCAGUGGGAAUAUUGGACAAUGGGCGCAAGCCUGAUCCAGCCAUACCGCGUGGGUGAAGAAGGCCUUCGGGUUGUAAAGCCCUUUUGUUGGGAAAGAAAAGCAGCAGGUUAAUACCCCGCUGUUCUGACGGUACCCAAAGAAUAAGCACCGGCUAACUUCGUG